CAGGCCUAACACAUGCAAGUCGAACGGUGGUCAGCAAUGGCCAUAGUGGCGCACGGGUGCGUAACGCGUAACCAACCUGCCCGAAUCUGGGGGAUAGCCCGCCGAAAGGCGGAUUAAUACCGCAUAAAACCAUAGGCUGGCAUCAGCUAUUGGUUAAAGAUUUAUUGGAUUCGGAUGGGGUUGCGUAGCAUUAGCUGGUUGGCGGGGUAACGGCCCACCAAGGCGACGAUGCUUAGGGGAGCUGAGAGGCUGGUCCCCCACACGGGCACUGAGAUACGGGCCCGACUCCUACGGGAGGCAGCAGUAGGGAAUAUUGGACAAUGGGCGCAAGCCUGAUCCAGCAAUGCCGCGUGUGUGAAGAAGGCCUUCGGGUUGUAAAGCACUUUUAUCAGGAGCGAAAUCUGCAGGGCUAAUACCCAUGCAGUCUGACGGUACCUGAGGAAUAAGCACCGGCUAACUCCGUGCCAGCAGCCGCGGUAAU
rnacentral:rRNA from 1 species